rnacentral:rRNA from 1 species
UGUUGGGGGCCCUAGGGGUUCCCGCGCUCGGGGUGCGGGCUGGGCCCGCGGUUUGCCGCUGUCUUCUCCGGCCAGAUGGGGCUGUCAUUAAGACAUGCAGUGCCCGCUGCGGCUCCUUGGCCACAAAGGGCGAGCAGCGGGCACCUCGGGGGCCGUGAGACAGCGGUGGGACGUGGGUCGGGUACGCGCCGGGGGCGCGGGGAUUUCUGUGGCCCUCUCUGGCACUCCCACAUAACAUAAAAUACGAUACCAAGUAGCAUACACCACAACAGCAAUGGCGACGUGGCGCGAGUACAGGCGUAAGCGGCGCCCCCGCAGAUGGGCGUUCAGGUGGGCCCGCCCCUUCAGCAGAUGGGUGGAGGGGAGGGGCCCACUGGACGCGGCUCAAAGCUCGGGAAGAGCAGGGCCGCUUGUCUCGGCCCGGGAACCAUUUACAUAAACUAGUAUAAUGGGGACACCUACAAAUAACACGAAUGUAUACGCACAACCAAACAUAAGACUGCCGCAUACACUGCCCCCAAGGCCUCGGUCGAUGAUAGCGGUGCCCCCGCCGGACCCGCUUAACAGCCACAGCCCAGGCAGCCUGCUGGGGCGGAGAGGCCGGGAAACCGGCCUCUCUGAUCUAGCAGGUGUGGGGGCCAGGGGGACAAAGCCCCCACCCUGUGCUCUGGAAGUUCCCUCCCCUUGUUGAGAGAGUGACGAGGGGGGGACGACCAGAGUUACGGCCGAGGGACAGGGCCAUAUGCCGGGACCAUGGGGGCCUGCAGUCAAAAGACAAAGGGAGGACAGGGAAAGAGGGAGUAGGAACACAAAAAGGGGAGGGGAGGGGGAGACUAAUGAAGGCCUUUCUUUUCAGUACCCUCGCGAUCCCCACCCGAAGACAGACAGCAACCCCGAUUCGACCAUAAAAUUGUUUAUUCCUCAAGAAGCCUGUAAUCAAGAACCAACUACCGCCGACCAUCAUCCAGCAAGCCGUCCAGAUCCAUAAUUCGACCAUAGAACUGUUAAAACAUCAAGCAUCAUGUAAAAAGAACUUUCAACAACCAUCGUCAACUAGCCCGAAACGCCACUCAAGAGAAGUCAUCAGAGAAGAACUGGGGGGGAGGGAGAUACAUUUUAGUAAUUGUUUAGUCCAGGAAGUAGCAUGUAAAAGGGGGACGGAUUUUAGAAAAGGCUUUCAUUAGUGUGUACACUGAUAUGUAUAUAUUUUUCUUUAUAUCUUUCACAUAUUUCACUUAGAUUUUACGUCUUUUUAUGUUUUUACCCCAUAUAUGUAUGUUUGGAAUUUUUUUUUCCUUUUUUUAUAUUUUUGCCUUAUAUAUGGGUGUGUAUGGUUUUGUGUGUAUGUAUGUAUGUGUAUGUACAUGUCUAUGUAUAUAUACACAUAUAUAUAUAUAUAUAUAUACUUUUUUAUGCAUUUUAGUGUAAGAACACUAUUUCAUUUUUACUAUUUUUCUGUAAAGUGAUAGCAUGCUCACUAUUUUACUCUUCAACAUAUUUAACCAAUAUAUAUAGGCUUUCAUUCUGUACAGCGGGUGCAUGCGCGCUUCUCUUCUGGGAAAAAUUUGAAAAAGAUUUUUUUUUUUUCUUUUCUAGUUUUCAAUAAACGUCGCUGAUGGACUGGGCCGGUGCCCUUGGCUGUGGUUGUGCUAAAACAGUAGAUCCCAGGGGGGUGGGGUUUUUUAAGCAAUUUUUUAUAUUAGGAUGCCUGCUAUACCUUUGUGGUGCGGGCAGAGGAGCAAUUUUAUUUUAUUUUUCUUGACUUAAUUUCCCUUUUCUUUUAAGUCUCCUCUAUAUAUUUUGUCCCUAUCUACUAUCUAGCGAAACCACAGCCAAGGGAACGGGUUGGAAAAAUCAGCGGGGAAAGAAGACCCUGUUGAGCUUGACUCGAGUCUGACUCUGUGAAGAGACAUGAGAGGUGUAGCAUAAGUGGGAGGACGUGAACCCUCGCGGUUGUGUCGUGCCGUCAGUGAAAUACCACUACUUUCAUCGUUUCUUUACUUACUCGGUGAAGCGGAAAGCGGACCAUGAGUGUCCACGCUUCUAGCACUAAGUGCAAGGCCCUUCGUUGGCCCGCACGAUCUGUUCCGAGGACAGUGUCAGGCGGGGAGUUUGACUGGGGCGGUACAUCUGUCAAAUGGUAACGCAGGUGUCCUAAGGCGAGCUCAGCGAGGACAGAAACCUCGCGUAGAGCAAAAGGGCAAAUGCUUGCUUGAUCUUGAUUUUCAGUACGAUUACAGACCGCGAAAGCGGGGCCCCUCGAUCCUUUUGACUUUAAGAGUUUUAAGCAAGAGGUGUCAGAAAAGUUACCACAGGGAUAACUGGCUUGUGGUGGCCAAGCGUUCAUAGCGACGUCGCUUUUUGAUCCUUCGAUGUCGGCUCUUCCUAUCAUUGCGAAGCAGAAUUCGCCAAGCGUUGGAUUGUUCACCCACUAAUAGGGAACGUGAGCUGGGUUUAGACCGUCGUAAGACAGGUUAGUUUUACCCUACUGAUGACUGGUCAUUGCGAUAGUAAUCCUGCUCAGUACGAGAGGAACCGCAGGUUCGGACACUUGGUUCAUGUGCUUGGUCGAGAGACCAGUGGUGCGAAGCUACCAUCCGUGGGAUUACGACUGAACGCCUCUAAGUCAGAAUCCCGUCUAAGCAGUGCAAUGAUAUCGUGCGCACUUGCAGCGUUUACAGGUGACGUUAGAGUUUCUCGGGUCGAUCGCGGCGGGCCGCCGCGAUUCCCGGCUCGACGACGCCACGUGGACGUGGGGGCAUUAGUCGUUCGCCGAGGUAACGGUGCGAGCGACGCUCCCAUGCACUCGUUUUUGGUGUGAACCGCUGCGGUGUCAAAUCGUCUGUAGACGACUUA